rnacentral:rRNA from 1 species
UAUCAAUAAGCGACAGCAAACGGGCCCCUGCAUAGCCCUAAGUUGGAGCUUAGCAGGAACCUUUCUUUGGAAUUUAGGCGUCUNCGUCUCAUGUUCCUUGCAAACAGGACGAUCACAAACGGUGAGAAUCCCGUGCGAUGAGAUGCCCAAUUCCAUGUAAAGUUCCUUCGACGAGUCGAGUUGUUUGGGAAUGCAGCUCUAAGUGGGUGGUAAAUUCCAUCUAAAGCUAAAUAUUGGCGAGAGACCGAUAGCGAACAAGUACUGUGAAGGAAAGAUGAAAAGAACUUUGAAAAGAGAGUGAAAAAGUACGUGAAAUUGUUGAAAGGGAAGGGCUUGAGGUCAGACUUGGUUUUACCAGGCCAGCAUCAGUUUGGGUGGCAGGAUAAGUGCGUAGGAAAGUGGCUCCACCUCGGUGGAGUGUUAUAGCCUGCGUCGAUACUGCCUGCCUAGACUGAGGACUGCGUCUUUGACUAGGAUGCUGGCAUAAUGACCUUAAGCC